AAUUGGGAAGAAAAAACAAAAAUUCCUAUUCUCAUCGUCUCUCUAUCACUCUCGUGACUUUCAAGUCUCACCCCGCUCGUGACUCUCACCCUGCGAGUAGGGUGAGGCGAUCUCUCUCUCACAGGACUCUCAGCGAUCUCAUGACUCUCACCCUGUGCGCAGGGUGAGGCGAUCUCUCUCUCACGUGAUUCUCAGCGAUCUCUCUCUCUGGCGACUCUCAUCCUGCUCGAGCAGGGUGAGUUGAUCUCUCUCUCACGCAACUCUCAUUCUGUUCGUGGUUUUCCUUCUCAACAAGUUGUUGGUUCUCUUCCUCAGGAGAAGAAUUUGGAAUCUCUAAUCCUCAGGUAGAAGUGCAAAAGGAUUGUGUGUCACUGCUUCCAUGGUCCAUCCAAACCCACCUUCCAACUCAAAAUGUUUAAAGUAAUGCAAUAGGGCUUGUGAUCUUUUUGAACAUUAGAUAUUUUUCAUGAACAGUAAUUUCAUGGAUGAAGUUGAUUAGUUUUGUAUCAAAUGAACUUAAUAUGAGUUUUCUAUUCAUUUCUGUGAAAUGAGAAGUUACAAAGUGUUUUAGUUGAAAACAAACUUCUAAUAUGAUCACUGAACAUUUUUCCAAGGAUCGUCAUUGUACUUGUUGUGAGAGCUUUACUUCUUUUUAUAAGUUCUAGUAUUUGGGUUCACAGUU